GGACGGGACUAACACCGAUAUGCUUUGGGGAGCUGUACGUAAGCGUUGAUCCAGAGAUUUCCGAAUGGGGGAACCCACUAUCUUUAGUCGGAUAGUAUCCUUACGUGAAUACAUAGCGUGAGGAAGGCAGACCCAGGGAACUGAAACAUCUAAGUACCUGGAGGAAGAGAAAGAAAAAUCGAUUUCCUGAGUAGCGGCGAGCGAAACGGAAAGAGCCCAAACCAAGAAGCUUGCUUCUUGGGGUUGUAGGACACUCUAUACGGAGUUACAAAAGAAAGUUAUAAAUGAAGCGGUCUGGAAAGGCCCGCCAAAGACGGUAACAGCCCGGUAGUUGAAAUGGCUUUCUCUCCAGAGUGGAUCCUGAGUACGGCGGAACACGUGAAAUUCCGUCGGAAUCCGGGAGGACCAUCUC
rnacentral:rRNA from 1 species